rnacentral:rRNA from 1 species
UUUUCGAAGCGAUUAGUUUACUAAGAGCGGAGAUGUUGCUAUCUUAGUGGCGGACGGGUGAGUAACGCGUGGGUAGCCUGCCUUGCACUGGGGGAUAACACUUAGAAAUAGGUGCUAAUACCGCAUAACAGUAGGAGACGCAUGUCUUUUACUUGAAAAUUCCGGUGGUGUAAGAUGGACCCGCGUCUGAUUAGCUUGUUGGCGGGGUAACGGCCCACCAAGGCAACGAUCAGUAGCCGGCCUGAGAGGGUGAACGGCCACAUUGGGACUGAGACACGGCCCAAACUCCUACGGGAGGCAGCAGUGGGGAAUAUUGGACAACGGGGGGAACCCUGAUCCAGCGACGCCGCGUGAGUGAAGAAGUAUUUCGGUAUGUAAAGCUCUAUCAGCAGGGAAGAAAGAAAUGACGGUACCUGACUAAGAAGCCCCGGCUAACUACGUGCCAGCAGCCGCGGUAAUACGUAGGGGGCAAGCGUUAUCCGGAUUUACUGGGUGUAAAGGGAGCGUAGACGGCGAUGCAAGUCUGAAGUGAAAGGCGGGGGCCCAACCCCCGGACUGCUUUGGAAACUGUAUGGCUGGAGUGCAGGAGAGGUAAGUGGAAUUCCUAGUGUAGCGGUGAAAUGCGUAGAUAUUAGGAGGAACACCAGUGGCGAAGGCGGCUUACUGGACUGUAACUGACGUUGAGGCUCGAAAGCGUGGGGAGCAAACAGGAUUAGAUACCCUGGUAGUCCACGCGGUAAACGAUGAAUGCU